rnacentral:rRNA from 1 species
UACGGGGGGGGCAAGCGUUGUUCGGAAUUAUUGGGCGUAAAGGGCGCGUAGGCGGUUUGCUAAGUCGGAUGUGAAAACUCUGGGCUCAACCCAGAGCCUGCAUCCGAAACUGGCAGGCUAGAGUUCUGGAGGGGGUAGCGGAAUUCCUGGUGUAGCGGUGAAAUGCGUAGAUAUCAGGAGGAACACCGGUGGCGAAGGCGGCUACCUGGACAGAAACUGACGCUGAGGCGCGAAAGCUAGGGGAGCAAACAGG